GUAGCCUAGUGGUUAGAGCGUCCGCCUCGGAUGCGGGAGGUCGUGGGUUCGAUCCCCGGUCAAGUCA